rnacentral:rRNA from 1 species
UACGGAGGAUCCAAGCGUUAUCCGGAUUUAUUGGGUUUAAAGGGUGCGUAGGUGGCUUUUUAAGUCAGGGGUGAAAGACGGUAGCUUAACUGGAGGGGUGCCAUUGAUACUGCGGAGCUUGAGUACAGAUGAGGUAGGCGGAAUUGACGGUGUAGCGGUGAAAUGCAUAGAUAUCGUCAAGAACACCGAUAGCGAAGGCAGCUUACUGGGCUGUAACUGACGCUGAUGCACGAAAGUGUGGGGAUCAAACAGG